rnacentral:lncRNA from 1 species
CAAGUGGCACCAGCCAAAUCCCUGCCUUACUGACCUCUCCCCUGGAGGAGCAGGAGCAGCGCUCAAGGCCGCCCUGGGAGGGCUGAGAGGCAGGCUCUGGACUGGGGACACAGGGAUAGCUGAGCCCCAGCUGGGGGUGGAAGCUGAGCCAGGGACAGUCACAGAGGAACAAGAUCAAGAUGCGCUUUAACUGAGAAGCCCCCAAGGCAGAGGCUGAGAAUCAGAAGACAUUUCAGCAGACAUCUACAAAUCUGAAGGACAAAACAUGGUUCAAGCAUCUGGGCACAGGCGCUGUCCCAGCUGCCCCGGGCAAGAGGAGGUGUGUGUGGCAAGUCUGCUGGGUUACCUAUUAACUCAGCUGUGAGUUGAAGAGCCGAUGGGCAGCAGGCAGACUUGAGUCUCCUUUCUGUC